rnacentral:rRNA from 1 species
AUACGUAGGUGGCAAGCGUUGUCCGGAUUUACUGGGUGUAAAGGGGGCGCAGGCGGGAAGCUAAGUUGGAUGUGAAAUACCGGGGCUCAACUCCGGAGCUGCAUCCAAAACUGGUUUUCUUGAGUGGAGUAGAGGCAAGCGGAAUUCCGAGUGUAGCGGUGAAAUGCGUAGAUAUUCGGAGGAACACAAGUGGUGAAGGCGGCUUCCUAGCCUCUAACCAAUGCCAGGGCCCGAACGCGUGUGGAGCAAAAAGAAUAUGAUUCCCGGUUAGCCCACGCCGUAAACGAUGAUUAAGAGGUGUGUGGGGUCUGACCCCUUCCGUGCCGCAGUUAACGCAAUAAGUAAUCCUGCUGGGGAGUACGGCCGCAAGGCUGAAACUCAAAUGAAUUGAAGGGG